CAGGGUAAGUAACAGAAGAGCUGCAAUCUCUGCUCCACCCUGCUGGUCGCUUUUGUGCAAGUGGCUCCAAAGCUACAGUGAAAUGCUUUGGCAAAAUGCAGGCUGUGAUCACUCUAGCAAAGUCAGAAGGAGGGCAUGUGAGGAACCUUUCUAUCCAGUUUGUGUGGGUGGAAAGCAUCUGGGGGAGUCAUAAUGACCCCUCUGUUUCUGAUGGAGAUGAGUAAGCAUGAGUAAGAGCUAGGGAGCCAGCCUGUUUCACCACAGUGAUGAGUUUUGCAUGAGCUUAAUGGGGGCAUCUGUCUCAUGAGUUGCCACUAGUCUGCAGGACCUUCGCGGGAGACUAAUGUGUUUGUAAUCAGCUCUUACUGGAACCCGUUCAGCAUCAGUGUGUCUCUGUUCUGGGUCUUUUCAACAGGAACACAUGGGGAAUACCAUGAACAGGUGUUAUGGGUGGAUGUGUGGUGCUCAUUGUGUGUGUAAUAGAAGAGGUUACUUGUCAGCUCAGGUGCAAUAGAGAUGUAAGGAACACAAAAAAUAUGCCCAUGCUCCAGGACCCACAUGGAGAGGCCCUGUUCCAUGACCAAUGUGCAGAGCUCCUGCUCCAGGACCAAUGUGGAGAGCCCCUGCUCCAGGACCCAAAUGGAGAGCCCCGGCUCCAGGACCAACGUGGCUAGCCCCUGCUCCAGGACCCACAUGGAGAGACCCGGCUCCAGGACCCAUGUGGAGAGCCCCUGCUCCAUGGCCCAUGUGGAGAGACUUCUUCUUUUUCUUAGCUUUGAUUGUUUUGACACCUCUUCUUUUUGAGGCAGAUGAUGUCAUGCUCCUGCUCCGCUUAUCUUGUCAAUGGGUUGACCUCUCUCUGACCUUGGGUUGACCUCUCUCUGACCUUGGAAAGGUCCAAGGAGGAGUCAAAGCCCUGCUCUUGCUGGUUUGCCCAUUAGUGUGGCUGAAGGAUGGCCCCGUGUGGGCCCACCAAACAGCAUCUGAGGUUGUAAAAGGGGCGGAGUUAAGCGAAGGACCACACGUGAUUGUACAGGGGCCUGCGAGUUGAGACUGUCUACGAGGGGCAACUCUGUGGCUAUCCCUGUAAUUCAUAUCAGGGCAGCAAGAAGGAUGAUGGAUUUCACAGGUGUCCGCCGACCCACUAUGAAAGGGCAUGUUUUGUUUUUUUUGUGGGUGUGUGUGCGUGUGUGUGUGUGUGUUUGUGUGUGCGCAUGUGUGUGUUCAUGUGUGUGCUUAAUUAUAAAGAAACCUUUAAAUGACUGAAUUGAAAGGGCAUCAAAGCAACAAGAAAAUGAAUACAGAAAAUUUUGAAAAUGAGCUGGAAACCAAACACACUACUCAACUGAUUCCACAGAUGUUACAUUAAUGUCCAGGGAGGUGAUGUUGCAUUUAACAUCCAGAGUAACAAGUUGACAGGGAGUUCUGUGUUAUUUUUUUAUGCUGUGAAAUUUUUUAUUAAAUCAUGUUUUCCCCAAAUUCACAGCAUAGCUGGAGUAGGGAAACAGGACAAACGAACAAAGUAAGAAGCUCAGCAGAAAAAUAAAGAAACACAAAAGAAGGAAAAAAUUGGAGGUAAUGCUGAUGUACUCAAUGGUCAUGUGGACCAAGAACAGAUCAUCGGCAAGUCAAGUGGACAUCAGGGAAUUUGAAGGGUUCUUGAUUCUAAUGGAAUUACUAAGACUAAGCCUCACUGGCUUUCCUUAGUUCCUGAUUCAGUUGUUUGUGACAUAAGGGGAAAUCUUUUGUACCAGAAGGCAGAAUGUUGAAUACACAAGUAAGCACAGUUGAGAUGAUAACCAGGUUAUAUGAGCAAAAACAAACAAAGCAAAAGCUUUCUCCUGGGAAAUAUACUUUUUGAUGUAUUCUGCUGUCCAUUAAAAAACUGUGAAAUAUGUGAGCUGGUUCUCAGAAAGGUUGGCUAUGUGGUAGUAUCUUUGAAAUGAACCGAACCUCAGAAGCAUUAUGAGAAAGUUCUAGGCAGGAGGUUUUCACACAGUUGUUCCAACACAGGACCAGAAAGGGCAAGCACAACCAAAUCAAACGCAUUAGAUUUUAAGCCUGGGACAUGGGUUAGGCCUAUAGCAAAUGUACCAUGAGACAGAUGUCAUGAAGGCCAAAUGGAUAUGGCUUAACUUCAACCAGUUACCAGCUCCAUUUCAGUGUGGCAAAACAGGCACCAUUAAACUUAAGAGGCAACAAAAAAUGAGUU